AUUGAACGCUGGCGGCAGGCUUAACACAUGCAAGUCGAGCGGGGUUCUGGUGCUUGCACUAUCACUUAGCGGCGGACGGGUGAGUAAUGCUUAGGAAUCUGCCUAUUAGUGGGGGACAACAUCUCGAAAGGGAUGCUAAUACCGCAUACGUCCUACGGGAGAAAGCAGGGGAUCACUUGUGACCUUGCGCUAAUAGAUGAGCCUAAGUCGGAUUAGCUAGUUGGUGGGGUAAAGGCCUACCAAGGCGGCGAUCUGUAGCGGUUCUGAGAGGAUGAUCCGCCAAACUGGGACUGAGACACGGCCCAGAGUCCUACGGAAGGAAGCAGUGAGGAAUAUUGGACAAUGGGGGGAACCCUGAUCCAGCCAUGCCGCGUGUGUGAAGAAGGCCUUAUGGUUGUAAAGCACUUUAAGCGAGGAGGAGGGUCUUUUGGUUAAUACCCAAGAUGAGUGGACGUUACUCGCAGAAUAAGCACCGGCUAACUCUGUGCCAGCCGCCGCUGUAA
rnacentral:rRNA from 1 species